GGCAGGGUCUGUGUGGAGGAGGCUCGGGGUGCAGCGCUGCUAUUUAUACAGCACCGGGAAGCGCUGCGAGGUUGUGCUUGGCGGGGUGAAGAGCUUGUGAUCUCGGAGCACUUUGGGAUGUCAGACACUCCUGAGUUCUGCUUCGUGUGGCAGGAAAAGACUUCAGGAUGUUCCCUUCGUUUUGUGGUGUGGCAGAGCAGGGAAAAUUCACCCAAUGAUGGGCACUGCUAGCACUGCACUUGCCAGCCAAAUUUUCAAAAGAGCCCAGUUUGCUGACAUAAAUGGGGUUGCUGAUGUGCCGAAGGAGAAGGAAGCGCCGGAGAACAUAUUCCUCCCUAGGUCCAAGUCUCUCCCAUCUUAUCUUUCCCUUCCAUAUGUUUCCUCGGUAAUGAGAGGAAUUAUUUAUCAUUAAAGUGAUAUAUAAUUUAAAAAUUAAAGUUAAUGAAUGCUUAAAUUAAUUUACUGACAAAAACAAAUGUCUGUCCUUCAGAUCCUAUAAUUUUAAUUGGAGUGGGCUACGGCUUAAUUAACAUGUAUUGAUUGUAGUCCUGAGUACAUCUAUAGGUGGGUGGACUGUGUUGGGAGAAAUCCUCCUCAGAGAUGAAGAUUUGCUGAUAACAUUCUGAAUAAUUGUCUUGUGAAGAGACAGAAGUCUUUGCUGUUUUCUCUGCAGAAAGCUUUAAACAAAAGGUGCAUGAAGAAAACAGAAAAUUGGAAGAGAGUUGGAGCAAAUAAAGAAGCGGAUGCAACUGGAAACUUUUUGGGGGAUAAAAAGGUGGGUCAGGCUGUCUCCCCUGAGGCGGGGAUGUACCUGCAGAGCUGUGGGUGAGGAGCAGCUGGGAGAAUCCUCCUCCUCCAUCCCUGUGUUCCUGGGAGCCGUGUCCAUCCUCAGGGAUGCGGGAUGUGCCCGCGAAGCGUGACUUGGAUUUCCACUGCUGUGAAAAUGGAGAAUAAACCACCAGUGCAAUCCAGGAGAAACAGGAAGGAAAGUGACAUCUGAGCAGUCCCCACGCUGUCCUCCUCUGCCUGAAAUAACUCCUGUAGCGGAGCACGGCCUGGAGGUGUCUUGGAUCCUUUUGGGCAUCCAAGGGACGCUGAAAAACUGGAUGCUGCUGGAUGAAGAGCAUCUGAGGGGCAGUGACACAUGGCUUGAGCUGCAGGAUGGGCUCCCAGCAACCUGGAUUUUGAAGGAGCCCCCUCCCUGCUCACUGCACAGCAAUAGCUCCCGCUAGCACGUCCCAGGAGCAGCAAAAUGGCUCAGGCUUGUGUGGAAAUGGAAGGAUGAAGUGAGAAUUCAUUUUUCCUCGCUUUCCCAACCAGGAGAUUCAUGAGGUGGCUGGCAUGAGGGAACUGGUGGAAUGUGUUCCCUCCUGCCCUGCAGUGUUGAUCCCUGGCACUGUGAGGAUUAGCAGUGGUCAAAAGCAUCAGGAGGUGACCUUGCUCUGCCAUAAGAUCCCUCCCUUGUGGGCCUGAGCUGCCCAGGGAAAGCUGGCAGCACCCUGUGGACCGGACAGUUUUAUAACAUCAAGAAGAAUGGAAAAGCUGCAAGGCAUGCACACUCAAGACGCUGCACUCCUGGAAAGUUCUGGAUGGGCUCCAGGCAAUGUUUGGUGGCUAAGAAAGAUGAAGGUCUUGGAAAGAAGAGGAAAUAAUCAGCCAAGCCCUCAUCCUGCAAUAUUCCUGUUUCUGUGAGCUGGGAAUGCCAUUGGAGCAUGGGAAGGACAGAAAAAAUGCGUUCCUGCAACGUCACGUGUCUGAGGGUGGUUACAAGGACAAUGUUCUGGUUUUAGACUACCACAGCUCUCCUGGCUGGCCCAGUGUGAGGUGGCCACGGGCCUCCCACAGGAACCAAAAGGAAGUAAAAUCUUCACGUCACGUUAAGAUGGAUUGCAAAGCUUUUGUAAAGAUCUGUGGAAAAAGAGAAACCACUCAAGGAUGGGUCAGGCACUGCCUGGGCACAGCAGAUGCAGCUUAUCCAGGUCAGUCUGGGCUUGGUGGCACUGUCUGAUUUGUGCCCAUUUGGUGGCACCUGCUUUGGAAACAUUGCACAGGAGACAAAUUUUCUGGAGCCGUCUUCAUCCUUGGGCUUUAUCCUUUCCUACAACCUCCUGGGUUUUAGGAAAGCCUGGAUCUGAGAGGCCUCUGUGCAGGGGAUGGAUGGGCAGACUGGCUUUUCCCUUUCGUGCACUGGGGUGAAAUUAAAGGGAUUUCAGGAAAUAAAGCCGUGCUAACGAAGCUAAGCUGCCCUGGGAAAUGUUGUACCCAGAUUGUCCAAGGUGUGGGAAUCCCAGGCUUUCCCACUGCCCUGGCCAAGCUGCCAGCUUGCCUUCGUCUGGAAAGAGAGAUGGGCAUUAAUUGAGGGGUUCUAUUCUAUUUUGGGGGCAAAAGCAGGAUCUGGGCUGUGAGACACAUUCAGGGGGGUGCUGCUGCAUGCAGGGAUGGACUGGAGCAACCACCUGGAGGUGGGGGACCAGUCUGUGUCCCAAAAAUCAGGGGAGGCUGGAGAGAAACACAGCCAGGAGGUUAGUCCAGGUGAAUGGAGAAGUGACUCACAGAGAAUUUGGGGAGGGGAGAAACUUGUCUGGAAGGCAGGAGAGUCCUAAAGCAGUUCAUUUGUGUACACUCUGAUGUUCUUAGGACCCUGUUCUGGCUCUGACCAGUCCCAUCUGUGAUGAGCUGGCAGGGGUUUUAUGUAGGUCCAAACUGACAUUAAAUGCUCUAUUUCCUGCUUGCUGGUGGCUGUGCGAUUCAGAAGCUUUCCUGCAGAAGGCAGGGUCCUGGCAGUGCCCAGCAGCAAAGGCAGGAGCUGGAAACCUGCAGAUGAUCCAGCCCCUCCUGGUGCUUAUCCAAAAGAGUGCUGGGACUAUGAGCACCACGUUUUGGCUG